rnacentral:rRNA from 1 species
AUUGAACGCUGGCGGCGUGCUUUACACAUGCAAGUCGAGCGGCAGCAUUUCCUCCGGGAAGAUGGCGAGCGGCGGACGGGUGAGUAAUACAUCGAGACAUGCCUAUUAGUGGGGGGUAACUCAUCGAAAGAUGAGCUAAUAUCGCAUAAUCCCUGAGGAGGAAAGCUGGGGGCUCGCGAGGGUCUGGCGCUGCGUGAGGGGGCGAUGGUCGAUUAGUUAGUUGGUGGGGUAAAGGCUUACCAAGGCGAUGAUCGAUAGCUGUUCUGAGAGGAAGAUCAGCCACACUGGAACUGAGACACGGUCCAGACUCCUACGGGAGGCAGCAGUGGGGAAUUUUGGACAAUGGGGGCAACCCUGAUCCAGCAACGCCGCGUGAAUGAAGAAGGCCUUAGGGUUGUAAAGUUCUUUUAUCUGGGAGCAAAGUGCGCAUGUUAAUAGUAUGCGUAUAUGAGAGUACCAGAAGAAUAAGCACCGGCUAACUACGUGCCAGCCGCCGCCGUAA